UUAGAAAGAACUACAACUCCCAAGCGCCUAUUCGGUAGCACCGUGUAGAAUAUGGCAAUAGCCUAGCCAAAGGCUAUGUGCGCACCUUCGGGGACAGAUUCAGGAGGGCUCUAUUCCUCUCUUGAAAGCUGGCGGCGCUAGUGAGGAAUCUGGCAACCGCAGUUAUCGCAGCGCACGUGUGUGGACCAGGAAGAAGCGGGCAGCAGGGGUCAAUGGUGCACCUGGUAAAUGCCUGAGCCUGCCGUCUGCUGGUGCCAUCCCCUGUAGGCAAUCUCUCCAAACCAGUAACGGAGAUGUAGGCUGCAGCAUUUGCAAACAACGGCUGUUUCUACCCCUGACCAUCAAUCACUUUGGGCUGAAAAGCGAGAGAGAGGGUGUGCAUCUGAUGAUAAGUAAGUCUCCAAGCAACAGCUCUAAAGAGAUAUUUUUGGGGGGAGGGGGAUGAAAGAGCCAGCAUUCAACAGAAUUGCGUAAAUCACCCUCUCUGCUUGACUUUUGUCCGAAUGUAUAAGCGCCAGGCUUCCAUCCCGUCACUCCAAUCGGCCACCUUUUGUCCAGUUCCUUCCUUGACAGCUGCAAAGCGCCAUCAUCCUAACGCAGGGGCCCUGGUGCCAGCGGCAGAUCAGGUCAGAGAAGGCAGCCUCGUAAAUUGCGUACACCCGAGGAUGCUUCGGGAAAAGAUGAGAUGAGAGGGUGGCGGCUCUUUGUGAAGCACAGACUUUGAAGGACGAAGGCUCCAGACGUUUGGAUGUAGUUGGCCAAGUUUGGGGCAAGUGAAGGAGGACCACAACAGCAAAUAUAUAUAAGAUGGAAGGAGAAUCAGGAUAAGACCUACAAAGGGCUUUCCAAGCAUCUGGGCUACAUUUCAUCCACCCAGGCUCCGUGUUCCAUGGUGAUUUAGGAGAGUGGCCAUGUUUGGGAAGCAGAAAGGCCCAAGGCUUGUGGCCUUGUUCCUCCAGGAAGUCCAAAGGACCCUCGCUUAUUUCUUAUUUGCAUACACUGUCCUCUUAGGAGGGUUCAUUUGUGCCGGGUUGAUACUGCAGCUCCUAGCUUCGGAGUAGGGGAGGUCGAGGCUCUCGUUCGAUCCUCAUUUGGACGGCGGCUGGUGGCUGCAUGCCAGUGGGGAAGUAGAAUCCACUCUGGGUUUCAGCCUAAACUUUCAAGGCGCUGCCCAUGGUGCUGAACCUAUUUUGGGAGUGGUUUGCCAGGACCUUUGAAAGUGACUCCGCUCCAGGUUUUACUCCAGACUUUCAAGGCGCUGUCCAUGGUGCUGAACCUAUUUUGGGAGUGGUUUGCCAGCACCUUUGAAAGUGACUCCGCUCCAGGUUUUACUCCAGACUUUCAGGGCACUGUCCAAGAUGCUGAACCCCACUACCAAAAUGGGUUCAGCGCCUUGGACAGCUCCUUGAAACAGACCGCAAUCCAGAUUUUAGUCCAGAUUUUCAAGGAGCUGUCCAAAGCACUGAAACCUAAUCCCAAAAUGGGUUCAGCCCCUUGAAACUUCCGACUAAAACCCAGAGCAGAUUCUACUGUUCCACUGACAUGGAGCCACUAGCCACCCCUGGAUGGCAGCCAAACCGAUUCAUGCAACCUCUUCUCACUGAGCAGAACUGUUGGCCAGAUAUGGCAUCUCUCCAAAUUUUUCAGUGUGUAGAUACGCGGAUCAGAAAUGUACAAAGACCUCAAACGGAUAUCCAAAAGACAUGAAAUAUAUGUAAAAUAUGCCCUCCCAAAAUAUGUAGAAUAUAGUUUUUAAAUAUACUUC